rnacentral:rRNA from 1 species
UUGAACGCUGGCGGCAGGCCUAACACAUGCAAGUCGAGCGGAUGAAGGGAGCUUGCUCCUGGAUUCAGCGGCGGACGGGUGAGUAAUGCCUAGGAAUCUGCCUGGUAGUGGGGGAUAACGUCCGGAAACGGGCGCUAAUACCGCAUACGUCCUGAGGGAGAAAGUGGGGGAUCUUCGGACCUCACGCUAUCAGAUGAGCCUAGGUCGGAUUAGCUAGUUGGUGGGGUAAAGGCCUACCAAGGCGACGGUCCGUAACUGGUCUGAGAGGAUGAUCAGUCACACUGGAACUGAGACACGGUCCAGACUCCUACGGGAGGCAGCAGUGGGGAAUAUUGGACAAUGGGCGAAAGCCUGAUCCAGCCAUGCCGCGUCUGUGAAGAAGGUCUUCGGAUUGUAAAGCACUUUAAGUUGGGAGGAAGGGCAGUAAGUUAAUACCUUGCUGUUUUGACGUUACCAACAGAAUAAGCACCGGCUAACUUCGUG